rnacentral:rRNA from 1 species
CCUACGGGAGGCAGCAGUGGGGAAUAUUGCACAAUGGGGGAAACCCUGAUGCAGCGACGCCGCGUGAGUGAAGAAGUAUUUCGGUAUGUAAAGCUCUAUCAGCAGGGAAGAAAAUGACGGUACCUGAUUCAGAAGCCCCGGCUAACUACGUGCCAGCAGCCGCGGUAAUACGUAGGGGGCAAGCGUUAUCCGGAUUUACUGGGUGUAAAGGGAGCGUAGACGGCAGCACAAGUCUGGAGUGAAAUGCCGGGGCUUAACCCCGGAACUGCUUUGGAAACUGUGCAGCUAGAGUGCAGGAGAGGUAAGUGGAAUUCCUAGUGUAGCGGUGAAAUGCGUAGAUAUUAGGAGGAACACCAGUGGCGAAGGCGGCUUACUGGACUGUAACUGACGUUGAGGCUCGAAAUCGUGGGGAGCAAACAGGAUUAGAUACCCCAGUAGUC